UGCGGGUUCGGUUUAUUUGGGUACUUUGGGUAGGUUAUUCUGGAAUUUGGUUAGUUUGGGUCGGUCAAAAUGUCACCAUAGUGAACAGGAAAAAAUUUUGGUUCGGUUUUCAGUUAGUUCGGUUUCAAAUUUUUUACCGAAGUAUUUUGUGUUGCGGUUAGGUCGGUUAAAAUUUUGGUAUAAAAUUAAAAAAUUCAAAAAAAUUCGAUUAUUUCAAUUCGGAAUUUGGUUAGCUUGGUUUGGUAAUUUUGGUUAGUUCGGUUAUUUCGAUUCGGAUUUUGGUUAGUUUGAUUAGUUCAGAAUUUUGGUUAAAAUUGGAACUGUUUGAAUUUUUAAUUUAAAAAAAAACGAUUACCGAACCAAACCAAAAACCAAAAUUUUUUUACCGAACUUUCGAAC
rnacentral:lncRNA from 1 species